rnacentral:ribozyme from 14 species
AGCCACAAAACAAAGAAAGAACAAAGAAGAGAAAGAGAAGAAAAGUGUUCUGUGGUCGUUGUGGUCUCCUCCUUUUGCUUUUU